rnacentral:rRNA from 1 species
CAGCCCUUGACAUGUCCCGUAUGGGUUUCAGAGAUGAGACCCUUCAGUUCGGCUGGCGGGAACACAGGUGCUGCAUGGCUGUCGUCAGCUCGUGUCGUGAGAUGUUGGGUUAAGUCCCGCAACGAGCGCAACCCUCGCCCUUAGUUGCCAUCAUUCAGUUGGGCACUCUAAGGGGACUGCCGGUGAUAAGCCGCGGGGAAGGUGGGGAUGACGUCAAGUCCUCGUGGCCCUUACGGGCUGGGCUACACACGUGCUACAAUGGCGGUGACAGAGGGACGCAAUGGAGCAAUCCUGCGCAAAUCUCAAAAAGCCGUCUCAGUUCGGAUUGGGGUCUGCAACUCGACCCCAUGAAGUCGGAAUCGCUAGUAAUCGCAGAUCAGC